rnacentral:rRNA from 1 species
GAUGAACGCUGGCGGCGUGCCUAAUACAUGCAAGUCGAGCGAACAGGCGAGGAGCUUGCUCCUCUGACGUUAGCGGCGGACGGGUGAGUAACACGUGGAUAACCUACCUAUAAGACUGGGAUAACUUCGGGAAACCGGAGCUAAUACCGGAUAAUAUAUUGAACCGCAUGGUUCAAUAGUGAAAUACGGUUUUGCUGUCACUUAUAGAUUGAUCCGCGCCGCAUUAGCUAGUUGGUAAGGUAACGGCUUACCAAGGCAACGAUGCGUAGCCGACCUGCGAGGGUGAUCGGCCACACUGGAACUGAGCCACGGUCCAGACUCCUACGGGAGGCAGCAGUAGGGAAUCUUCCGCAAUGGGCGAAAGCCUGACGGAGCAACGCCGCGUGAGUGAUGAAGGUCUUCGGAUCGUAAAACUCUGUUAUUAGGGAAGAACAAAUGUGUAAGUAACUAUGCACGUCUUGACGGUACCUAAUCAGAAAGCCACGGCUAACUACGUG